rnacentral:rRNA from 1 species
UACAGAGGUCUCAAGCGUUGUUCGGAUUCAUUGGGCGUAAAGGGUGCGUAGGCGGCGCGGUAAGUCGGAUGUGAAAUCUCGGAGCUUAACUUCGAAACUGCAUUCGAUACUGCCGUGCUUGAGGACUGGAGAGGAGACUGGAAUUUACGGUGUAGCGGUGAAAUGCGUAGAUAUCGAGAGGAACACCAGUGGCGAAGGCGAGUCUCUGGACGACACCUGACACUGAGGCACGAAAGCUAGGGGAGCAAACAGG